AGAAAGAGUGCGCAGGCGCGCAACACCAGCCGCCUAGCCAAGGAACUGAAGAGGGAGAUGGAAGUUGCCAGUGCAAAGAGAGGCCGCGCUUCAUUUACUGCUCCCCGCUGGAGCAGAGGUCAUGGACCAAACCACUACUUGUGAAAGAUAUGGUACUGGUGAAAAGAAUCAUGAUAUAACAUGGAAAGGAGAAAUCUACCUGAUUUGCAGCAAUGGACUGGUUUAAAAUCCCAUGUGAUUUUUUAAAAUCGAUUAUUUUGACAAAGGGGCAAGAAAGAAGACAUUCCUCAAUAAUGUCAUGGAAAUUUUGAUUGAAAACAUUUUUCCAGACUGUUUUUCCUUUUUUCCCUUUACCCCUAAUUUUCUUUUCUUUUCUUUUCUUUUCAUUAUUAUUAAUUUUGAGGGUAUAUUAUAUUGUUAACACUAUUGUAUGUAUAUUUCUUCUGUUAACUGAUUUACUAUAAUAAAAGAAAUGCAUAAAAAGCAAACAUUCAUA